rnacentral:lncRNA from 1 species
AUGGAGGUACGAUUUGUCCUUGGUCUCCCUCCUGCUUGUCCCUCCUGUGAUGUGACUUUGGCAAGUUCUCUGUCCUCACAAGCCUCUGCCUUACGUCCCAUCUCCUUUAGCUGGCCCUGGUCCCUGGCUCCCGACUCUCACCCGUCCCCUGCCACCCCAGCUCCAACAGGGAUCCGCGGGCUAACAGAGGACCCCUCCUCCUGUGGGGCCCUUGGUUCCCUGAUGAAGACUUCAUCUUGGCCACAAAAGGGAUGUGGUAACUCAAGUGCUUCAGAGCAUGGGUGGUUUGGAGUCCUGGAAAGAAGUGAGCUGAGAAAGGCAACUGAUGGUAUUCAGGGGCAGGCUGGGCCAUUAGUCACAGUGGGAACCCCCGCUCCUCGCCCCACCUCACUUCCUCUCCUCCCCAGCUUUGUGAAUUGGUUGAUUAGGAUGCAAAAUGUCCUCUGGUGGGAGAGGGGCAUGGGUUCAGAUCUCAAACUGAUAUCAGAGGGAUGUUGUUCACAACUGCCAAAGCCCUGCUGGCCCUGGGCAUCUGAAAUCACCCGCCAAAGGGGGCUUCCUGCUGUCUCUUAUUGGAGCCUAGCCAUGGUGUUCCUGCUCCUUAUGAGCGCUGUUCUUACACUCGACAUGGCUUGACUGUCCCCUUUGGUCUCCUCACCACUACGGGGAUGGGAAGUGAGAGGACAAGGCCAAACCCUUCUCUGUGCUGGGAGAGGGGAGGAAUGUAACAUCAGGUCCACAGGGGUUGACUUGAGGUCUGGCAGAGCCAUCAGAGCCCAGGCGGCCUGGCUCCCAGUUGCGUCUGCCAGCUCAUGGGUGCCUCUGAUGCUCCCUGAGGAUUCAGAGAGUGCUGGAGGACAGCUCGUCUCAGAAAGCAGCCUCACAAGACAUUACCGGUGACCUGGACUAGGGGCGGGGCCAGAGGUGAGAGGGGGAAAUGGAGUGAAGAAGUAGCAAGAGAAAAACUGAUCUCCCCAUGGUUCCCCCACCCCCCAAAUGCCUCAGUUAGGUCUUUGAGAUGAGAAAACAGCCACCGAAUUCUUUGGGCUCUCUGCUAGGAUCUUCCUUUUGAAUGCAAAGGAGAGACUGAGAGCUCGCUGCAGAGUCAAACGUGGGAUCUCCAUCUCAAUGCCCAGAGACAAAGGGCCAAAAAAUGUGAGGAAUUUCCAGAGCGCCUCCUUCAAACAGCAUCUCCCCCAGCCUCUGGCUCAGCUCCAUGGGCGCUGAGGAUGGGGUGGCAUCUUUCUUCUGCUGGCCCGCUGCCCAUUCGCUAAAAGCUUGUAUCUGAAGAGAAAUGAAAAUAGGAACCUCCCUGCUCAACCUCCUGCUUGUGCUCAUGUAAGAAGAUACUUCUGUGAACCCAGAUGGUAGGGUCGGCCUCGGGAGUGGCUUCCACUGGGCAGCCCAGUCUCUGCCUCUCCCCUCCCCCACCCUUCUGCUCCCCCACCACCCCAUUU